GAUGAACGCUGGCGGCGUGCCUAAUACAUGCAAGUCGAGCGAACAGACGAGGAGCUUGCUCCUCUGACGUUAGCGGCGGACGGGUGAGUAACACGUGGAUAACCUACCUAUAAGACUGGGAUAACUUCGGGAAACCGGAGCUAAUACCGGAUAAUAUAUUGAACAGCAUGGUUCAAUAGUGAAAGACGGUUUUGCUGUCACUUAUAGAUUGAUCCGCGCCGCAUUAGCUAGUUGGUAAGGUAACGGCUUAACAAGGCAACGAUGCGUAACCGACCUGAGAGGGUGGACGGCCACACUGGAUCAGAGACACAGUCCAGACUCCGACAGGAGGCAGCAGUAGGGAAUCUUCCGCAAAGGGCGAAAGCCUGACGGAGCAACGCCGCGUGAGUGAUGAAGGUCUUCGGAUCGUAAAACGCUGUUAUUAGGGAAGAACAAAUGUGUAAGUAACUAGGAACGUCUUGACGGUACCUAAUCAGAAAGCCACGGCUAACUACGUG
rnacentral:rRNA from 1 species